AAAUUAUCUAGUUAAUACAGCAGGACAGUGGCCAUGGAAGUCAGAAUCCGCUAAGGAGUGUGUAACAACUCACCUGCCGAAUCAACUAGCCCUGAAAAUGGAUGGCGCUGGA
rnacentral:ncRNA from 1 species